CGGCAUUUUAUCCCCGCAAGGGACAUUAUGCCCACAUCGUCAUGCUAAUCUGCGACGAAGACAUGGGAAUCCUGCCGUGAACCACUGCGUCUGGGGUCAGACUACGACGCCCACGUCUGGUGGACAACGCGGCUGCGUGAGCGCAUCGAAGGGGCCCGGAUUGCCGCGGCCGUACCUUCUGGCCUCUAGGUGACAGAGGCUACAAACCAGGACCAUGGCUCCUGACACCUCUCCGAGGCUGUCCUCCCAGAAACGCUGUUAAAAAGGCAAGUGCUACACUGCACAUGCUGCAAUGCAGUCUGUAAUGAAGCGUUGUGCUGGGCUAUUGAGGAGCUGCUUCCGCUGCGUUCAGCAGUGCAGUUGUA
rnacentral:lncRNA from 1 species